rnacentral:lncRNA from 1 species
AAGAACUCAAAGAUUUAGGGUUUGAUUCUGGAUGUAACAAAACCAACUUAUCAAAUAUAGAGAAAGAUACUUGGGAUUGAAUUGCGUUUAUCUCAAUCAUCUGUAUUUUGAAUAAUACAAUAUAUAAUACUCAAAACUACUUAUUCUUGAUGCUUAAUUUAAAGUCAUUCAUCUUGAUUCCUCACAGAUGAAAUUCAUAAGAUAAUUUCU